rnacentral:rRNA from 1 species
AAGCAGAGGGGGCUUAGUGGUGGGGUGACUGCGUACCUUUUGUAUAAUGGGUCAGCGACUUAUAUUCUGUAGCAAGGUUAACCGAAUAGGGGAGCCGGAGGGAAACCGAGUCUUAACCGGGCGUUAAGUUGCAGGGUAUAGACCCGAAACCCGGUGAUCUAGCCAUGGGCAGGUUGAAGGUUGGGUAACACUAACUGGAGGACCGAACCGACUAAUGUUGAAAAAUUAGCGGAUGACCUGUGGCUGGGGGUGAAAGGCCAAUCAAACCGGGAGAUAGCUGGUUCUCCCCGAAAGCUAUUUAGGUAGCGCCUCGUGAACUCAUCUCCGGGGGUAGAGCACUGUUUCGGCUAGGGGGCCAUCCCGGCUUACCAACCCGAUGCAAACUGCGAAUACCGGAGAAUGUUAUCACGGGAGACACACGGCGGGUGCUAACGUCCGUCGUGAAGAGGGAAACAACCCAGACCGCCAGCUAAGGUCCCAAAGUCAUGGUUAAGUGGGAAACGAUGUGGGAAGGCCCAGACAGCCAGGAUGUUGGCUUAGAAGCAGCCAUCAUUUAAAGAAAGCGUAAUAGCUCACUGGUCGAGUCGGCCUGCGCGGAAGAUGUAACGGGGCUAAACCAUGCACCGAAGCUGCGGCAGCGAACGUAUCACCCAAGACAACUUUACGGAGUUGACGAUUGACGGAGCGAAGCGACGUCAAAGCGUUCAUUAAAGUCGAGUUGGCUUAGGGAUACGUUCGUUGGGUAGGGGAGCGUUCUGUAAGCCUGUGAAGGUGGCCUGUGAGGGUUGCUGGAGGUAUCAGAAGUGCGAAUGCUGACAUAAGUAACGAUAAUGCGGGUGAAAAACCCGCACGCCGGAAGACCAAGGGUUCCUGUCCAACGUUAAUCGGGGCAGGGUGAGUCGACCCCUAAGGCGAGGCCGAAAGGCGUAGUCGAUGGGAAACAGGUUAAUAUUCCUGUACUUGGUGUUACUGCGAAGGGGGGACGGAGAAGGCUAUGUUAGCCGGGCGACGGUUGUCCCGGUUUAAGCAUGUAGGCGGAGGUUCCAGGUAAAUCCGGUACCUUAUUAACGCUGAGGUGUGAUGACGAGGCACUACGGUGCUGAAG